GACGAACGCUGGCGGCGUGCUUAACACAUGCAAGUCGAACGGAAAGGCCCUGCUUUUGUGGGGUGCUCGAGUGGCGAACGUGUGUGUAACACUUGAGUAACCUGCCCUUGACUUUGGGAUAACUUCAUGAAACUGGUGCUAAUACCGGAUAGGUGCUCCUGCUGCAUUGUGGGGGUUUGAAAGUUUCGGCGGUUGGGGUUGGACUCGCGGCUUAUCAGCUUGUUGGUGGGGUAGUGGCUUACCAAGGCUUUGACGGGUAGCCGGCCUGAGAGGGUGACCGGAAACAUUGGGACUGAGAUACGGCCAAGACUACUCUGGGCGGCAGCAGUGGGGAAUAUUGCCCGAUGGGCGGAAGACUGAUGCAGGAGCGCCGCGAGAGGGAAGACGGCCUUCGGGUUGUAAACCGCAUUCGCCUGUGACGAAGCGUGAGUGACGGUAAUGAGUAAAGAAGCACAGGCUAACUACGUG
rnacentral:rRNA from 1 species